AAAGAGGAUGGAUUUGACUGCUUGCAACCUCAUGAAAAAAUGCUAAAA
rnacentral:ncRNA from 1 species